rnacentral:tRNA from 2 species
UCCCUGGUAGCUCAGUUGGUAGAGCGAGCGGCUGUUAACCGCUAGGUCGUUGGUUCGAGCCCAACCCGGGGAG